rnacentral:rRNA from 1 species
UACGAAGGGGACUAGCGUUGUUCGGAAUUACUGGGCGUAAAGCGAGUGUAGGCGGCUUGGUAAGUCGGAUGUGAAAGCCCCGGGCUCAACCCGGGAAGUGCACUCGAUACUGCCAAGCUAGAGUAUCGGAGAGGUUGGUGGAAUUCUCGGUGUAGAGGUGAAAUUCGUAGAUAUCGAGAGGAACACCGGUGGCGAAGGCGGCCAACUGGACGAAUACUGACGCUGAGACUCGAAAGCGUGGGGAGCAAACAGG